rnacentral:rRNA from 1 species
UCCGUAGGCGGUGUGGCAAGUCGGUAGUGAAAUCUCUCGGCUUAACUGAGAGGCUGCUGCCGAAACUGCCAUGCUGGAGUGCGAGAGAGGCGAGUGGAAUUGCGGGUGUAGCGGUGAAAUGCGUAGAUAUCCGCAGGAACAUCCGAGGCGAAAGCGGCUCGCUGGAUCGCAACUGACGCUGAGGGACGAAAGCUAGGGGAGCAAACAGGAUUAGAUACCCUGGUAGUCCUAGCCCUAAACCAUCAGGACUUGGGGUUUGCCCUGUACGGGGCAAGUCCCGGAGUUAACGCGUUAAGUCCUGCGCCUGGGGAGUACGGUCGCAAGGCUGAA